CACUAAAUAUUAUAUUAAUCAUCCAUUCCUUCAUUCAAUGGGCUUCUCAGUAGGCUGCUAGGGUUUCAAAGGCAAAGGCUGUAGCACUAGUUUAUUAUAUGUGAAUGUCCUUCCCUCCUUUAGCUCAGUGUUUCAUGGAAAUGUUUUUUCCCUUGCAGAACAUCACUACAGGAGACAGUUCGGGAAGAUCGACGACUUAGCCAACUUCCUGAUCCGAUAUGCAGCCACCCACCAGUACCUGACUAGGGCGAACCUGGUGUAUUUUAUCUACGUGGUCAUGAAUCUGG